CCAAGAUGCCGCCUGGGUAAAUUCCUGGGAAAGAGGACCAAGAGGGAACUCUUUAUUGUCACAGCUGUUGUACUUUCUGUUUUACCAGCAUGGAAGGAGAGUUUUCCCUAUGUGUAUCCCACAUCCUGCAUCCACUUGUAGAAGUUGCAUGACGAAAUUAAAUUCACCGCAUGGUCAAUAGUGUCUCUACGUGAUGGUUCUAACGGCCGACUUAAAUUCUUACGUUUUUUCUCUUAUUUUAGGUUUUGUAUAGAGAACAUGGUUUUUGUUUCGUUGUCUCCACUUUACGGUUGAUGUGUAUCUCUAUUGAUGCAUUGUUUUGAGGGGUGUGGGGUGGGGAGAAGGAGAUUUAGCAACGCAUAUCAUGCUUUUGAAAGUGAAUGCCCAGUGUGUGCGUGCAGGCUCAUUAAUUUUGGCAAAUGUACCACUCCGGUGGGGGGAUGUUGGGAAUGCGGGGGGGGGGGGGGGGGCUAUGCAUGUAGGGGCAAAGGGUCAUUUCCACCUUCCUGUCAAAUUUUCUGUGAUCCUGAAACUACUUAAAAAUUUUUAUCAAAAAAUUUUUGUGGAAUAUUUUUUAAAUAACGCAUAUCCACUGACUACGUCAAGGGAUCUAACCAACAGAAAUUUUCCAAAUGUGUAGGAUAUAUAUUUGAAGGCAAAAAAUCAAAGAUGGGUAUCUGGAAGGAGAUAUAACAAAACAUUUAAUUUCAGUAACGUCUGAGGGUUGGGAUUGCUAAGAAAGGGGCUUUCACUUUCUACUUUACACCCUUCAACUAUUUUUUCCAAGUUAAAAAACAUUUAAUAUAAUUUAUAUUUUAAUAAAAUAUUUAAUACAGUUGUUUCAAACUUUUCUAACACAGUACAAUAAUUUUAAAUUAUGGCGAACUAUUCCAUAGCUUUUUAAAUCCAAGCAAUUAGUGUGAGGAUGAUGUGACAUUCUUAUGUAAAGCUGAGUGUAAACUUGUCUCUCAAAAGCCCUAAAACGUUCUUACUAAACCUUUAGUGUAAUCCCAUCCCACACUGACAAAAGUUUAUGGAAGUCCAGGUUAUUGUAGGAAAAAUUGAAAACAAAAUGUUAAGCAGCAAAGGAAUGUUAGAAAUUAUGACCCAUCUUUAUGAUGUUAUGUAGCCCAUUGAAAUGUUUAUAAAGAACUUUUGAUAACAUGAAACAACACGGUAAGUGAAAAGAAUACCAACAUUUUUUUUCUUUCUUUUCAUCCCAUCCUCCCUCCCUUCGUGCUUUCUAUCUUAAGAGGAAUUUGGCAAGAUUAGCAGUGAAUGUCGAUAAAUGGUGCUUAUAUGUGAUUUUUUUCUCUGUACCUUUCAGUGUUCUCAAUAUUUUCUAUAACAAACAAGUAUAAGGAGAAAACAAAAUUUCAGAAAGAGAAAGUAUAUUAGUCCCUAACUCCAUUCUCAAAAAUAAAAGUAACUAUAUGUAUUAUUUUCCAUUUUAAAGGGAAUUUUAUCUCAGAAAGGUGAAGACACGAAGCAAGUAGCAAAGCCAUCCCAGGUCCCAGGCAUCCCAUGCGUUGGAGAGAAAAUACAGAAAAUGGAAUUUACUAAUAAAGCCAUACCCUAUAUAAAGAAGAUACAUUCAGAAAUCCUGUCUUCCCAGGGAUCAGACCUUGCAGCUCCACUCUGGCAAAAUGGAUUGUCUUCUUCAUCAUUACUUACUCCUGAGUAGCUGCUAUCAGAUGUUGCCAACUUAAGAAUUAAUGCAAACAAAAAACUUGCCCAGCUGGAUUCUUCUCUUUGCUGGGAUGAGAAUAUUCUGUGAUUGCAAGAACAUGCAAGGCUGCCUUGAUAAAGAACAAGAACGUGUUCUGGGGGAACCCUCUGAUGCACUGUUGGUGGGCAUGCAAACUGGUGCCGCCAUUCUGGAAAACAGUGUGGAGUUUCCUCAAAAAGUUAAAAAACAGACUACCCUACGACGCA
rnacentral:lncRNA from 1 species